AUUGAACGCUGGCGGCAGGCCUAACACAUGCAAGUCGAACGAGUGGCGCACGGGUGAGUAAUGUCUGGGAAACUGCCUGAUGGGGGGGGAUAACUACUGGAAACGGUAGUUAAUACCGAAUGCCUUCGGCUGAGCCCCGAUGGGAUUAGCUAGUAGGUGGGGUAAGGGCUCACCUAGGCGACGAUCCCUAGCGGGUCUGAGAGGAUGACCAGCCACAUUGGAACUGAGACACGGUCCAGACUCCUACGGGAGGCAGCAGUGGGGAAUAUUGCACAAUGGGCGCAAGCCUGAUGUAGCAAGGCCGCGUGUAUGAAGAAGGCCGUCGGGUUGUAAAGUACUUUCAGCGGGGAGGCGUUACCUGCAGAAGAAGCACCGGCUAACUCCGUGCCAGCCGCCGCGGUAAUAC
rnacentral:rRNA from 1 species